UUUCCUCAUUUUAAUAUGGAAAAAAUGUGGAAAAAAAUACGGAGAAAAUUAACAAUAUGGAAAAGCCGAAAAUAUACGGAAAUAAUCCGGAAAAUAAACGGAAAUAAUACGGAGAAUUGGACUUAGUCUAUUUUUCAUCUGGAAAAACAUUGAACUCUUAACUUUGAAUAUUUUUCAUCUGGAAAAAAUACGGAGCUCUGGACUUAGAAUUUUUUCAUCAAGAACAAGAUGUGUUUGUGAGACACAGUAGCACCUGGCAGCAACAUUAAGUUCUAAAAAACAAUUUUUAGCAAAUGGGUCUCAGUCAAGGUCACACAAUCAUUGUUCUUGGUGUCAUUUGAAAGCACUUUAUUAGUAUAGUAUGCAUACCAAAUAUUAAGUCUCUAUUAUCUAUGGUUCAAAAGUUAUGGCGAAAAUUCGAAAAAAGCUAUAUUUAGCACAUAGGUCACAGCCAAGGUCACAAGGUCAUUGACCUUGGUGUCAGUUGAAGGUGCCUAAUUAGUGGAGUAUGCAUACCAAAUAUGAAGUCUCCAUCUCUCACCGUUCAGAAGUUAUGGCGAAAGUUCGAAAAAGCUAUUUUUAGCAUAAAGGUCACAGUCAAGGUCACUGACCUUGGUGUCAGUUGAAAGUGCCUAAUUAGUGGAGUAAGCAUACCAAGUAUGAAGUCUCUAUCUCUCACCGUUCAGAAGUUAUGGCGAAAGUUCGAAAAAGCUAUUUUUAGCAUAAAGGUCACAGUCAUGGUCACAAGGUCAUUGACCUUACUGUCAGUUGAAAGUGCCUAAUUAGUGGAGUAUGCAUACCAAAUAUGAAGUCUCUAUCUCUCACGGUUCAGAAGUUAUGGCGAAAGUUCGAAAAAGCUAUUUUUAGCAUAAAGGUCACAAUCAAGGUCAUAAGGUCAUUGACCUUGGUGUCAGUUGAAAGUGUUUUUGUAGUGGAGUAUCCAUACCAAAUAUGAAGUCUCUAAGUCUCACGGUUCAAAAGUUAUGGCGAAGGUUAAAGUUGACAACAGACAGACAAACAGACAGACAGACAGCUAAACAGACAGGACAAAAACAAUAUGCGCCCCGAAAAAAUUUGGAUGCAUAAAAACUGUCUUGGAGUUAACAGCAGUUCUCUGUUUCUCCUGAAUGUUAUGUACAAUUUGAUCGGGAUCGGAAGAAUGUUUCAAAAAGUCGGGCUCAGUGAUCAAUUAAUUUAAACAACAGACCGCCAAAAUUUAACCUUGGCCUCCAUGUUGCAACGUCUGCUCUGUCUAAAGGAAGAAGUUUGUUGACCAGACAGCCUGAGAUCGUAUUGCUGUAUCAACCAAAAGAUGCAGAUACACGUAUUUCAUUUGCGGUAGCGUCUGUGCAUGAGGAGGAGAUUUCUGAAAAAGAAUAAGUGCUUAUUCAACUUACUACGAUUUUAAGGGGCUUAAAGCUUGGUCCAUGGAUGGUUAUGUUUGAGGAUUUGCCAAUUCGACCGCAAGUGCUGCUGCAAGAAAUUAAACAUGCAGAGACCUUACAAAUUACAAAGAAGUCUGAAGAAAUUUUUAUUGGACAGAUGGGUGUAAAGCACAGACCUGAGAUAUAAAUUGAAUUGUGAGAAAUAUGAAUCAGGGAUGCAGGUAGAAAAUGGCAAAUGUGAUCCAGAUUGAUAAAAAAUGUCUAAAUUUUUUUCUUGUUUUGUAAAUAUUCAAUGCUAUGUCAAUUGUUAUUUUUUCCCCAAUACCUAAUAGUGUUGAACAUUUCACUCCCACUUUUGCUUAAAUAGAAUGAAUAAAUUUCCAUUUAUUUAAUAUGAAUAUUAAAAAAUGCCACAUUUUUUUCAUGAUGAACUUGUGGCUUAAAUAAGAGUUCCAGUUUUUUUUCCAUACAUGCUCCAAUUUGUUUGUCAAAGAUAUAAGAUCCAAUACAUUGCUCAUGAACAUAAUGUGUAAUUUUGUUCAUUCAUCUGUAUGUUUUUUUCUCAUAAUGAUAUAAUAAAUUGUAUAUAAUUUUGCACAUUGUUGAUGGUUUUGUAAAUAUUUAUGUAUGUAUGCAUCAUGUAGCGGUUUUAUUAGCCAUUUUAUAACCAUGUGAUUAACUCCGUAUUUUCUCCAGAUUUCCGUAUUUCCGCAUUUUAUCAACCAAGUAAAUACCUCCAUAUUUUGUAUAUAUGGAAAUGCGGAAAUCUGGAGAGAAUACGGAAAAAGAGUCCAAAUACUCCCAUCCACAUUUUCUCCAUAUUUUGAAUACGGAGAAAAUCUGGAAAUUUGAAUACGGAGAAAAUCUGGAAUGAAUGCGGAAAAUUAGUCCAAAUACUCCCGUCCGCAUUUUUUCCUUAUUUUGAAUAAGGAAAAAAUGUGGAGAUCUGAGG